rnacentral:rRNA from 1 species
ACUGCUCAGUAACACGUGGACAAUCUGCCCUAGGGAGGUGAAUAACCUCGGGAAACUGAGGACAAAACACCAUAGGAGUCAAGCACUGGAAUGUCUGACUCUCAAACAAGAAGACCUGUAUUCGGUCAAUUGCCCUAGGAUGAGUCUGCGGCGGAUUAGUUCGGCGGUGGGGUAAUGGCCUACCGUGACUAUGAUCCGUACCGGCCUUGGGAGAGGGAGCCGGGAGAUGGACACUGAGACAAAGGUCCAGGCUCUACGGAGUGCAGCAAUCGCGAAACCUUCGCAAUGCGCGCAAGCGUGACGAGGGGACCCCAAGUGCGCAUGUACAACAUGUGCUUUUAUCAAGCCUAAAAAGCUUGAGGAAUAAGGGCUGGGUAAGACUGGUGCCAGCCUCCGCGGUAACACCAGCAGCUCAAGUGGUGAUCGCGCUUACUGGGUUUAAAGCGUGCGUAGUCGGUUCGACAAGUUUUCUGUGAAAUCCUGGCGCUCAACGUCAGGGAUUGCAGAAAAUACUAUCGGGCUCGAGACCGGGUUAGGAGUGAGGUAUUCUGGGGGUAGCGGUGAAAUGCUAUAAUCCCUGGAAGACCACCAGUAGCGAAAGCGUCGCUCUGGAACGGGUCUGACGAUGAGGUACGAGAGCUAGGGGAGCGAACAGGAUUAGAUACCCUGGUAGUCCUAGCUGUAAACGAUGUGGGUUUAGUGUUCCUCAAAUCUCGUGUUCGAGGAGUGCUGAAGGGAAACCGUUAAACCCACCACCUGGGGAGUACGGUCGCAAGGCUGAAACUUAAAGGAAUUGGCGGGGGAACACCACAAGGGGUGGAUGUUGCGGUUCAAUUGGAUUCAACGCCGGA